AUUGAACGCUGGCGGCAUGCCUAACACAUGCAAGUCGAACGGGGUAGCAAUACCCAGUGGCGGACGGGUGAGGAAUACAUAGGAAUUUGCCUUUAGGUGGGGGAUAGCCCGGGGAAACUCGGAGUAAUACCGCAUGAUGUCGAAAGACCAAAGUAGGGGAUCGCAAGACCUUGCGCCUUUAGAGAAGCCUAUGUCUGAUUAGCUAGUUGGUAGGGUAAUGGCCUACCAAGGCGACGANCAGUAACUGGUCUGAGAGGACGAUCAGUCACACCGGAACUGAGACACGGUCCGGACUCCUACGGGAGGCAGCAGUGGGGAAUAUUGGACAAUGGGCGAAAGCCUGAUCCAGCAAUGCCGCGUGUGUG
rnacentral:rRNA from 1 species